CAAAGAAAACUAUCUUCAUAGCAUAUCAAAUUUGAGAGACUCCAGAUCUACUAAAAAAAAAAAAAAAAAAAAAAGAAGAGAAGAGAAGCAUCAAAGAGUCUGAGAGUCAAGAUCGACUCUUUUCUCUUCCAUUCCCGAGACAGUAGCCUGCAACCAGAAGAUCCGGGGAGACUAUGGUGGUUUCAAGAGAAAAGAUGAAGCUUUCUCGUGAAAGCUUUACUUUCUUCUUUCGGGACUUUGAUCGAUCACUUGGUGAGCUCUAGAGAGAAGCUAGCCGAGAUCAAGUCUUCAUCCUUGACGAUCAAGCCACAGACGAAUGGACGGCUUCCAAUCCGACCAAAGAGCCCAAGAUUCUCGUCAGCUUGCUGUCUUGUACUUUCCACAGAUCAAGGUCGCAGCAAACCUGAAACUUGAUCUAAGAAGCUCACGGCCACGAUGGAAGAAAAGGAGUUUCCUAAAGCUUGCUGCUUUGAUUGAAGUAUCUGAUAAAGACAACAGAUUUUGUAAUCACCUCAACACAAGCUUGCCAUCUUCGCGACCGCUGUUCCGUCCCUCCUCUCUUAAAGACCUGAGCUCCGACGUCAACGGCAGCAGGUCUGUAACUUCUCCUCGUCAUAACUGCGAGCCUUCUCUUCGUCAAGGUGGCGGCAUCUCGCCCACUUCUGCUCAAAAGUGCCGAUCAAGAGCUCCUCCUCUCCAGACAAGAGAACUUCAAAGUUAUGAGCUUUCCGUAGACCUUGCCGACAAGGAGAACACGAGUUUGCUUUCCUCUGCUUCGUAUUCCUCUUGUCAUGCGUGAAAACAGAGUCUUUGAACCAAAAAAAAAAAAAGAUGCUUCUUCUAGCUCUGUUCCUGUCUCUAUGCCUGGUUUCGAUCAGUGGGGUUAGCAGAAUGGAGGGUCACGACCAAGAGCUUGCCACGCCGGUACGAGCAUCACCAUCAAGUUCGCGAUCUCCCCUUGACACGAUUGGAACGAGACGAGAAGCUCCCCGGCCCAUUCGAAGGAGAGUAAAUCUUGGGAACAUGAAGCGUUGAGAUCGACGAACCUCGACGACAAGCUUUAGUUGAAACAAGUCAUCAUGCCGAACACCAUCAAAAAGGAGCCUCAAUUGGUUAUUUCUCAGCGGCGUCUCGUCCUCAGCUUUGUUAAGAUGCAAAGAAGGCUCAACGUCUCUAAACUUGUGGUUAGUCUUGUCGACGAUCACCAUCUGGUUUUGGGUCAGUCUAUGCGCUCCUUCUCGUCAAAGCUCGAGACUUGAUCUCAGGAAGAAUGCCAUCCCGUCGGUGACGUCUAUGCUCAAGCUCAUCGGUGACGUCUAUGCUUAAGCUUCUCGAGCUUGUUCCUGUGUUUAUCAGCGUUGGCUUGACUUCUUGGGCUGCCUCUGUUUCUUACGACGAGAAGGAGAUGAUGAAACGCUCUCGUUAAGUCAAGUUUUGCCGAAAAGAAGUUGUUCAGACGAGAGCGAGGUCUCGAAGAGCGUCUACAAUAACUUAUUCGCCAAGAUAUAAAGCUUGUUGAGCUUCUUUGGUCAGCACACGUGUCAAAUGUAUCUCUUCGCCAAGAUACAAACAGAGUUCGGCAACCUCGGACACUUGUUCCUAGUUUACAAAGAUAAGUUCUCUUAUUUAAUUAUCACAUGCUUUAAUGACUUUUAAAUUACACAUAUGUGUCGCAGUGGACAUCAUAAUUGUUGUUUAAAUUAUUAAGCAAUUUCUAAGCUGCUCAUUCUCAUAUAAUCUUUGUGAGAUGACUCGUGUCAUUGCUUCAUUGUUGGUAGCUUAUGGUACUAAUAAUUAACAAUUAUUCGCGGCAUCAUGUGCAAGAGCCGAGCAUUAAGCAAAAUCAAGUUUGCUGGUUUGCUUAUUAAUUAUGCAAAGGUUGGUUAUAUCUUUUGGUUUAUAUUGGUCUAAUCAUGAUCAUUCUUUUCAUGAACCAGAGAUAGUUGAGCCAAAGAGAACCAACAAGCGGUUGCCACCAUCAUGCCUGUAUGCCUUGCAAGACGGCUCUCAACUACGAGCUCGUUGGAAGCAGUACAAACGGCACAGCCAGCGCGUUUCUCAACGUCAUCAUAGCCUGACGAACACACAAGCCAACAACUUGUUUGGCACACACGAUCUCAACACGAGACUUCGGGUUGGCAACAGUUCGGUAAACGUGUAUUUUAGGCACAAGUUUACAUUAAAUUUGCUUUUUAUUAGGCACGAGUUUGCGGUUGACUCGCUUAUUGUUAGACACGAAUUUACAAAAACUCGUCUUUGGCUAGGCAUGAGUUUACAGAAACUCUCCUUCUACAAGGCAUGAGUUCUCAGUAAACUCGCCUCUGUCUCAGCAUGAGUCUAGUAAACUCGUCUUUCACUAAGCACGAGUUCAAAACAAACUCGCCUCUUAUUAGGCACAAGUUCAAAGUAAACUCGCCUGAAUUGUCACCGGCAUGAAUGUGUCUAAUUCAUUGUCUAAUAAACCCUAUUCGUAAAAUUCACAGAGAUCGAUUUCAUCUCUCUCUACGAACUUGGGGGACUUACUGUUGGGGGUGGAUUUACAUCCUCCCUCAAGGCCCAUUAGACAAUGAGUUAGGCCCAUUUGACUAGGAAACCCUAGGCUUCACUUUCUAUAAAUAAGGAGCUUCCUUCUUCUUAGAAAUGAUCUCUUCCACAUUUUUAGAUCUAGAACACUUCUUGUAAAGAUUUUAUAAACUCUUAGAUUCACUUUACACUUCUCAUAAUCUAUGUAAUGCAAUCUUUGAGUAAUAAAAUCUCUAGAUGUUCUUUUCUCAUUUGAUUUCUAUGUUGAUUUCUCUUAAGCCUCAAGAAUCUAAGAAAUCUAAUUCUUAGAUUUUUCAUUGUUAUGAAUCCAACAAACACACCAUUUUUGGAUCAAACACGAGUGUCUAGCUGAAAAAUCAGUCAUCUAGGCGUUCAGCCUAUAAGGCCACCGUAGUGGAUAAAACCAUAUCGGAUCACCAUAAAUAAAAUCGAUUUAUAGCCGGGACCGUGCGUGAUGUGUAGUUAGAUUAUUUUCUUCAAACCCUCAAAGAUAUAUAAACCUUAGGGGCUUCUGCAUUUCAGAAAUGAUAUACUAGAAUGCUUUUAGUUAUUGAGUUUCAUACUUCCAAUGUUUAGUAACCAGAUUCGAGAUAUCAUGUAUUGUGGAUGCAAUAUGGACUGCAAAUAGUCAAAAGUAUCACUGAUAAAAGCAAUUUGUGAUUUAUUUGUGCGAAUCAAACUGGUAAACAUUAGGGGUGGACGUUCGGAUACUCAUUUGGGUUCGGUUCGGGUCUAUUCGUGUUUGAAGUUUUCGGGGUCAAAUAUUUCAGCGUCAUUCUGGUAUUUCUAAAUUUUGGUUCGGAUUCGUAUAACCCAUUUAAAUUAUUUUUAAAAUUUUAAAAUUCAUUAUAUAAUUAAAUUUUCUCAAAAUCUAUAAACUGUUGAGAAAGUAAUAUUUCUGUUAUCUUAUUUCAUCAUAGAAGUGUUCUUUAUAUAGGAGUUACAUGUCGGUUAUGGGUUAAUACAUAAAGGCCAUGAAUGGGCCAAGACUAUAAGUACAUAAACUAAUGGGCUGGACAUCCACAUAAGCAAUUAUUCAUAACACUCCCCCUUGGAUGCCAGAACCAUAUAGAGCUCGUAGUGUGCUAAUGCUGCCUCGUUAAAACCUUACUCGGAAAACCCAGUGGGACAAAAUCGAAGUGAAGGAAAAAGAGUACAGCACACACUACUCCCCCUGGUUUGGACCUCCGUGUGGGUCUCUGAACUUGUGCAUCCUAAUCUGGUGCACAUGCUCCUCGAACGUCGCGGUCGGUAGUGUCUCGGUGAAGGGAUCAGCUGAAUUCUUCUUUGAAUGAACUGGUAGCUUCCUGAACGUCUUUAUGUCUUCUGGAACUCCAUUAAGAUGUGGUCAGGAUGUACCUUCUUGUUGCUGAUCACUCUAUGGACGGAUGACACUUGACUGGCACACGGAUUUGGUUGGUCAUGGACCAUAACCAAACGACCUCGCGACUUUCCUGGUGGGGGUCUGAAAGAUAUCCUGCAUCAGUAAAAACUAACCAAGUUCUCUUUGUUUGAUUAGUAUAAAUAAACCAAAAUCUUUCGUCCAUUUCAUAAAUAUGGUCGGACUUGUUCUAUGGUUCUUGACCAGAACAUAUGGACUUUCUAUACAUGGGAGUAUUACAUUUAUUCUCAUCCAUCUACCAUGGAUGGAUCUCGACCAUAAAUUCUUUCAGAGAUUCAUGGUCCAUUCGGAUCAUACAGUUGUCCACUGUGUGUCCCGUCCAUAACUUUUAUGAAUGACAACCAUAUUAUAGUUUUGAUGUUUCUCAAAACUAAGCCUCUUUUGGGUCAACAAGCUGUUCGUCCCAUUUGGACGGUUUGGACCGGAACAAGACCAAGGAGGACAGAUCGAAAUGGGGCCGGAACGAGGCAGAACAUGCCUUGGUCGAUAUGGACCUUUGGCUUGGAUCGGAUGGUUUCAUUUUCUCUUAUAACCAUCUCAUUUUCCCAUUCUCAAUUCGUUGGACCAGUAAUCUCAAUACACAAAGGAUUUUCUUUAUAUACUAUAUGCAUGGACUGAUCUGGAUCAUUCUUAUAGAACUCCUUUUACUAAGUAUCACUUAGUCUUAUCUUUUAUAUGCAUUAUAUGCCUUAUAUGCAGCUGCCUUUCAUUUCAGUCCAUGAAUAGCUUAGGAACAAAACUAUUCUAUGAGAAUUUCUUUUCUCAUCUUUUUGAUACUUUUAUCAUUUCUUUAUCCAGUGAUCAAUAUGCUACUUACUACAUUUCUUUCUUACUUAUAUCCAGACUUUUUCGAAUUUGUAGUAGCAUCCACCACAUAGGAGUAUAUCUCCUUAUAAUCUGUUCCUUUGGUCUCUGUGAGUAUCCUUGUGUAAUCAAGCCAUUCCUUGAAUACUUUAAAUAGGAAUAUGAACACCUUAGUCCAUGUCUCACGAUUUCUUUUCUUUUCCCACACAGGACCUAUUUUUCACUGGUUUUAUCUUAUCAGAUGGUGUUUCUAUAUAUGGCCAAUACACCAAUCUCUUUUAUAGAUUCUUUGAAUCUUUCUUUGAACCCCCACGGUUUCCUUUAGUCUAUGAAUGCAUUCUUGUAUUCUCGUGGGUUCUGAUCCUCGCUUAUAUCUUUUAAAGUGCUAUUUCCUUAUGCAUCUUUAUCUUUUAUGUGUCGACACUUCUUUUAUAGUGUUCCAUUGUGUUCCAGACAUGAACUAAUCGAUUAGAGAUUUCAUUCUUACUAAGAACCUUCAUUUACCUUGUAGUUUGGCGUCCCAAACUACAUGGUCUGGUAUCUUAGAUGUUUAGCUGCGCAGCCUUAUCUCAAUGUCUGGUAUGGUUUCCCUUAUGACCUCGGAUAUGUCAUUUUUAUGCACCUUUCUUUUCAUUUCCGAGGUUCCUUAUCUUAUGGAACAUAUUGGUCUAUCUUUAGACUCUAUAGCAACUUGAUUAUGUCUCUUCUAUGACAUUAAUUUCGUGGUGCUUAAGCUGGUAUGACUUAGUCAUUCUUUUUCUUUUCUUUUCGGGUCUAAUCUGUCUGGCAUUCUUUUAGCUAGCUUUGUAUGAUCUUUCUUUGGACGUCCUAAAUCAUAUUCUCUGGUCCGAGGAUCUUGCCAAGACAAGGAUGGUUAAUACCAUUCCAUUUCUCUUUAUACUUUUACCAGCUUAUUUCUUUCUCCCCCUGAUGUUGGAUAGUCAAAUUUAAUCAUGCAAUCCGUAAACCUGGCCUUAAUCUGAUCACCCAUAUUUGGCUCAAGGUUUCUUAUAAAAUCGUGGGAGAAAGCAUUCUCAUAUCCAACAUAUAUUCCCAAUCUUAUCUCAUCUUCUUAUGAGGUUCCAUCCUAGACGGCACAUAUUAUUGUGGUGGUCUAUACAUAAUCUCUUAGGAUGGUCUAUGUCUGGAUCAUGACCCUUUAUCAUUCUUAGAUGGGAAUAUCUAUGCUCACUUUAUAUGGCCUGAUGCAUAUUUUUAUUACAUGUAAAUCCAUGUGUUCCCAAGCAUUAGCUAGUGAUCUUUGUAUCACAAAGAAUUCAGCCAAGUUCUAUCAUGGUCAUAGACCAUGUCACUCGGAUUUUUAGUGUUGUUCAUGUACCACGGGAGUGUCAUUUCUCCCCCUCAUGAACAUGCUUAUAAAUCUUUUAGAUGCUUGGAACAUUAUAGCCUAUUGAGUUUCCCUUGUGUACAUGUUACACAACGUGAGAUUCUAUGGGAUAACUCUUUUGUGCCUUUUUCGAUAUCAAUCUUUGCAUCAAUUUUAAAGACCUGGAUGGCUAGUCCAGUCAUGCCAUAAAGUGUAUAAAAUUUCGUGGUCAACCUAUCUGGUUACCUAGGCCUUUUGCCUUUAUCAUACUGAUCUUUUAGCAUAGUUUAGAUCAGCCGGGAGUACAAUCUCGACCAUUUCUAUGCCUUGGGCAGUUUUUAUUUAUAAUCUUGAAGGAACUUUUUUUUUUCUUUGCUCAUUGGUUCAAUGUGGAAACCAUUCAUUUUCAAAACUUUAUAACUCAAAUGGGUCUUUUAUUUGGGUGAAUAAUUCAUGCCACUUUUAGGCAAUGCAUUUGGUGGGAUAAUUUUAAUUACUAUACUCAUUUUCUAAAUUUUCAUUUGUCAUUUAUCAAUCAAGGAAUUAUCAAGCAAAUCAAGCAAGAUAAUAUAAGACCAGAAUCAACUUUUAUUAUUGCUAUAAAUUUUAUAAAUGACAAGCAAAUCAAAUCAAAACAUAAAACAUGAAAUCAGAAUGUCUGAAUCUUUGAUUCUUUAAUCAAUGUGUAAGCCAACCUCACAAUUUAUAUUUUCCAUACGGCUUCCUCAGAUUUUUCUUAUAUAUCAUUUUCAUCCUCAAUGUUUUCAGGAGGUUUCAUAUCACUGUCUUGUUUUUCAAUGUAUGUUUACUGAAUUUUAUUAAUCAGUUGAUGGUAUCUCGAAUUUUCUGCUUUCUUUUCUCGGCUGCCAAUAGGCAUGAUAAUAAGUCUUUAUAGGUCGUGAAACCUUUAGACUUAUGUGAUAACAACAUAUCCUUUGAAUGAAAUGUGGAAUAGGUCAUAUAAAAUAAGUCCUUUUCUGUUACCACUUCAGCACAUAGUUUAAAACUAUAGGUGAUUCUCAUUUGAGCAGAAUGAUAUUUGUCCACGGAUUCAAAAUCCUAGAACCUGAGAAUCUUUCAUUCAUCCAUGGCCUUUUGCCAUAAUACCAUUGAGAAUCUGAAGUUUUGUUUUGACCAGAGGUCAUAAGGAUCCAUAGUAUUUUCAUGCUACUCUCUCAGAUCCUUAGUGAGAUGAUAGCACAUAAUUGUUAUGGUUUUUUUUUUUUUUUUCACUUUCAGUUACAUAAUUACCUUGAUUAAUACACUGUCCGAGUCCUCUUGACAUCAGGACUACUGAAGUGUUCAUUUGCCAUUUUCAAUCAAUUAUCUCCAUAACGAUUUUAGGGUAGUAUAAUCUGAAGUUUCGAAAUUCGACAUCUGAAAUCACAUUAUCCAAAACAGGUCUUAAUUUAUGUUAAGUAAUCUUUUUAGAAAAUUUUAUUAUUCAUAUCAAUACUUCUUAUCACACUCACCAAUUUUUUUUUUAUAAGUAUUGAUGCAAGCAAAAUAAUCAAAGUUAUGAUGCAAUAGGUCAUACGACCAUUUCAGAUAAUUACUUCUAGCAAUAAUAAUGCAAAGUCACACGGCUAAGAUGUGAAUCAACAUUUAAUUGAUUCAAACAAACAUGAAAAUCAAUCAUACACCUUUAAUCAAUUCGGAUUUAGGGUUUUCAAGGCCCCUUUUUAAUGAUUUUCAAACAAAAGUUUUCAAGGCCUUUUACGGAUUCCAUUUUAUGAUGCAAUCUUAGAAAACAUUUCUAGAUGAUCAAUGAAUGAGAGAAGUUUCCCAUAAAAUUCUAUAAAAAGAAAUUUCAGAAAAAUAAAUUUCUAUAAAAGGAAACUUUCUAAAAAUGGAAACUUUCUAUAAAAGUAAACUUUAUAUUUUCGAAAUUUUCUAUAAAUGGAAACUUUAUAUUUUCGAAACUUUCUAUAAAUGGAAACUUUCUAUAAAUGGAAACUUUCUAUUUUCGAAACUUUCUAUAAAUGGAAAUUUUAUAUUUUCGAAAUUUUCUAUCAAACAAUCAAUUAGACAAUCGAAUUUCAAGUUAAUCAAAAAUUAGGGUUUUUUUUUUUGAUGAAAUCGAUCAGAUUUAGAUUUUAAAGGGGAUUGAUCGAUUUCUAGGUUUUAUCGAUUUGAUCAUUAAGAUCAAAGAAGUUUUCGAGAUUCAGCAAACCAUUUAGGCUGUGAUUUUAAUUGAUUUAACAAUCUCUUGAUCGAACUUUUGGUUUAAGAGCUCCGAUUUACUCAUGGAUGGGUUUGGACUUAUUAAUCUGAGUUGUUAGGGGUUUUGCAAGAUUUUAAUUGUCAUAACCUUUAACACAAAGUCCAAAUUCGAUCUGUGAGUUUUUUAGAGUUUCAGAUUAGUUUACCUAUGUUUGAAAAGAUCUGAAACCGGACCACCAAAAAGAGAGAGGAGAAAGCUGCGGACUGGUUAUUGUUUUUUUUUUUCUUUUUUUUUUGGGCAGCUGACGGCGCGUACUGUGGCUGAGCGUGAGGGCGCGUCUGAGCUCGGACUGACACAGGGUUUCCGUCGCUGGAUACGUCUCGUCAAGAGCUUCGAUUUGAUAUAUGGAUCGUCGUCUGGUUCCUUACGGUUUGAGAGACAGAUCGAUUUGAAGUUGCGGCCGAAUUAGGGUUUUGAAUCAAGUUGACGGCGCUCCUUGUAAUAGACCUUGAGAACGCGUCCGAGAUCGGAUUGAGAUGAAGUCGACGGCGUUGGAUUCUUCUCGUCGAGAUCUUGAAUUUGAUAGGUGACUCGUCGUCUGAGUCCUCACAGUUGGAGAGAUACGGUGGUUUGAAGUUUCGUUCGAAAUUAGGAUUAGGGUUUCCAAAGUAAUGUCGACGGCGGCUAUUGUUUCUGCGCAUGACAGCGCGUCUGUGCUCUGAUCUGCAAUCCGUUUGUGACAACUUGUUCGUAUCGUCAAGAGCUUCACGUGUAUAGCUUAAUCGUCUUCUGGCUCUACACAGUUUGGGAAAUACGCCUCUCUGAAGUCUCGUCAGUUUUUAGGGUUUUUAGGUAGCUCGGGUUUUAGGGUCUAUCGUGCUGAUAACGUGUUGAGAAAGUAAUAUUUCUGUUAUCUUAUUUCAUCAUAAAAGUGUUCUUUAUAUAGGAGUUACAUGUCGGUUAUGGGUUAAUACAUAAAGGCCAUGAAUGGGCCAAGACUAUAAGUACAUAAACUAAUGGGCUGGACAUCCACAUAAGCAAUUAUUCAUAACAUAAACAAAAUAAUAUUAUACAUAUGAAUUUAAAUAACAUAUGUCAAUACCUAAACUUAACAUAUAAAUUGGUUUAAUUUGAAUAUUUGGAUAGAGAAUGAAUAUAUAUUUAGUAUUCUUGUUGUUUUGAGUAUAUUUUAACUAUUUUAGACAUUUACUUUUAAUUAUUAAUAUAUAUUUUCAAAUAUAUUAGACAACUUAGAGUAUCUUAUAUAUUUUGGUGUUUUUAAUAUACAUCAAAUCUAAAAUAAUUAAUAUUUAAACAGUUUUAAUAUAUUUAUCUAACAUAUUUAUUGUCCUUUGUAAGUCUGAGGAUUUUGGUAGAUUAUUACGCUGUUUCGCACCCCGUGGCCGAGUUAGUUCAAUGAGCAGUUCCCGUGCAUCAAAAUCUUCUCAGGAGCAAAAUUUGGUUCCCGUUAUUCCCGCUCCCGCUGAAGCUGCUCCACAUGAGCCGGGGGGAGGGAGGUAUAAUGCCAGUUGAACUAUUGGUUCAACAACCAGGUCGAGACCAUCUCAUGGUCCUCCAUCCCAAUCCACGACGGGGACGUACAAUGUGUUAAGUAUUUUUAUUUUAUUUGUAGCAUAAUUUUUUAUUCAUAUAACUUUCUAACAUUCUUUUUGUUUUUUAAGUUUCAACAAAUCGAGCAAUGGCAUUAGCAGGAGCAUCAACCAAAUGAUGUAUUCCAUGCUCCGCUCGGGACAUCCAAAGUGGAGUGCGAUCCCUGCCGAGGACUGCGAGUUGUAGUUUCGUCACAAGAGUUCAAUUGGGAGUCUAGACUCACAGAAACAGUCCGUCUUGCAUUCAACGAUAAGGCCAUGGACUCUUACAUGAAGCAGGUCUAUGAGUGGAAACAGCUAAGGCUCAAGAACAAGAAGCCACAAUUUAUUAACACGACGGUGUGGGAAGAGUUGCAAGUGCAUUGGAGGAAGCAAGAGACUAUAGAGAAGUCUCUUAUGAACUCAGCCAACCGGAAGAGCGAUCGUGGCGGAAAAUAUAUUUAUGUGCACAACCUCGGUGCUUGCACUAUGUCUUCUAAGGAGGAUCAACUUGUUGAAGCAAACAAUGGUGAUCCUGUUGAUCAUCUCGAUAUCAUGAAGGAAGCGUACACUAACAAGAAGACGGGUCAAAUUCAGGACCCCGUAAUAAGAGAGGUCAUUGAGAUGGUGGAGACCCAAAAAGAAGCAUUUCUAGCUUAUCAGCCUCUUUCUGAUAACGAUUCAACAGGAGCUUCCACCAACUUGUCCCGGCUGCAAGUAAACGACAUGGUGGAGAAGGUGGUCCCUAAACGGAAAGGCCGUUUAGUUGGGCUGGCUCGUCGUGCCUCUUCAUGUCCAUCUUCUUCUUCACAAGUCCCGUAUGUUGAUCCCCUGAUCUUAGAGCAGCUAUUGAGCAAAGAUGAGAGGAUUGUGGCAUUGGAGGCGCAGAACCCCACAAUCUUUGCUGAGCUGGCGGAUCAAAAGAAAACCAACCUUGAGAUAUUGGAGAAGAUGAAGUGUUUGUUUCCUUCCGAUUUUUAGUUUUUUUUUUAACUUCUGAAUGUUUCUUUUUUGAAUUCAGUUUCAAACUAUGUAUGAACUUAAUUUCUAUAAUAUUAUUAGUUUUAAUUUCA